rnacentral:rRNA from 1 species
CUGUGGUAAUUCUAGAGCUAAUACAUGCUUCAAUAUUUCCGACCUUAACGGGGAGGAAGGCUUUUAUUAGACCAGAACCUAUUCGGUGCCGCGGGUUCGCGCUCGCGAGUGCCGGUUUCUUGGUGACUCUGAAUAACUUUGGGCUGAUCGCACGGUCUUUGCACCGGCGACGGGUCUUUCAAAUGUCUGACUUAUCAACUGUCGAUGGUAGGUUAUGCGCCUACCAUGGUUGUCACGGGUAACGGGGAAUCAGGGUUCGAUUCCGGAGAGGGAGCCUGAGAAACGGCUACCACAUCCAAGGAAGGCAGCAGGCGCGCAAAUUACCCACUCCCGGCACGGGGAGGUAGUGACGAAAAAUAACAAUACGGGACUCAUCCGAGGCCCCGUAAUUGGAAUGAGUACACUUUAAAUCCUUUAACGAGGAUCCAUUGGAGGGCAAGUCUGGUGCCAGCAGCCGCGGUAAUUCCAGCUCCAAUAGCGUAUAUUAAAGUUGCUGCGGUUAAAAAGCUCGUAGUUGGAUCCCAGUUGCAGACGGGCGGUCCGCCUCAUGGCGGUUCACUGCCCCGUUCUCGACAUACCUCCGGUUAUAUUUGUCCCGCGAUGCUCUUUACCGGGUGUCGCGGGGGGCCGGUACGUUUACUUUGAAAAAAUUAGAGUGCUCAAAGCAGGCGAUGGCCAGAAUAAUGGUGCAUGGAAUAAUGGAAUAGGACCUCGGUUCUAUCUUGUUGGUUCUUCGGAACACGAGGUAAUGAUUAAUAGGGACGGACGGGGGCAUUCGUAUUGCGACGUUAGAGGUGAAAUUCUUGGAUCGUCGCAAGACGAACUACUGCGAAAGCAUUUGCCAAGAAUGUUUUCGUUAAUCAAGAACGAAAGUUAGAGGUUCGAAGGCGAUCAGAUACCGCCCUAGUUCUAACCAUAAACGAUGCCAACCAGCGAUCCGUCGGCGUUACUUCGAAUGACCCGACGAGCAGCUUCCGGGAAACCAAAGUUUCUGGGUUCCGGGGGAAGUAUGGUUGCAAAGCCGAAACUUAAAGGAAUUGACGGAAGGGCACCACCAGGAGUGGAGCCUGCGGCUUAAUUUGACUCAACACGGGAAACCUCACCAGGCCCGGACACUUGGAGGAUUGACAGAUUGAGAGCUCUUUCUUGAUUCAGUGGGUGGUGGUGCAUGGCCGUUCUUAGUUGGUGGAGCGAUUUGUCUGGUUAAUUCCGAUAACGAACGAGACCCUUUCCUGCUAAAUAGGCAGAAGAUCCUCAUGUAGUGUCUGACGUUCUU